CACAUAUGCUGAAGGCAACAAAAAUGCUGGGAAGUCAAAGACUUUGAACUGAGGAGAUUGGUCCCAGGCUGAGAAGGAAGUUCAGCUUGUGUAUUAAGAACUGUAACCUACCAGCAACAUCCAGUGAGGUUAAGAAAUGGAGGUUCAGAAGGGUGAAGUGAUUUACCUAACAGGUCUCCACCUACCUUGCUGACAUACACACACAGAGAAAGACAGCUAGAAGAAGGCAGGAAAGUGACAGGCAAAAGGGGGGCUUGGAUACACUCAGUGAAGCCCCUUCUGCUAUGGACAGUCCUGGACCCUCCAGCCUUGUCCCUGAGGGCUCAUAACAGGCGCUGCUCCAGCAUGGGGAGUUUCUGGGCAUCCACAAGGCCAAGGUCCGCAGGACCUAUUCCUGCUCCCAGUGGAAUGAAUGGCAAAACUCCCACUAAUUUCAGUGGUACAAUAUGAGAGCCAAUGGUGACAUCCACCAGAUAAGAUUUACCUAAGAGUCAGACAGCUACCCGUUGAUGGCUUGUUAAGGUCAAUUAAUUCUAACAACGGGUCAUAGAAGAAGCUCCUCUUGCCUGGUGAAUAUUCCUGUGGACGCUCCAGCCAGAAUAUGGAUAAUGGCUGCCCCUGUAUGUCAGUAAGCCAUGUGACUUGUUGAUGUGAUCCUGGACUCCAUCUUGUGCUAGUAGUUUUCCACAAACUGUACUGUGAACUUUGUUCUGGGACAGUAAAAUUCCAAGCACAUGGCAGAAGGUAUAACAGACCCUUGAAUCAUCUCCAUGUUGCCUCUUUCCUGCUCUGAUUCUGUGGACUAUGGACUUAAAACUAAAAGGAGCAUAUUGAACUACAGACUGAGGACUUUCCAACCUUUUGGAGACUUUACAAUCCAGCAGUCUAUAACAUCACUGCCAC